rnacentral:lncRNA from 1 species
GGCUCCACCACAUUUAUUACCAUCUGUUUGGAUAUUAGUUUAACCCGAGCUCGCUUUGGAUGCUAGCUGGCUUACCUACAUCAAAUGGACUGCAGAGUUUCUGAACAGAAUAGUUUAUAAAAGUCAUACUGGUCAGCUGAAAAUAAAAUGGCUUAUAAAAUUGGCUCAUAGCUUCUACUUGUACAGAAGUCUUUUUAAGUCUUCCUGUUUUCGUCUUUUGUGUUCCAGUACCAACUUUCCCCCCCACAUCUUACAGAAGUACUUGAUUUCCUAAAUCUUGAUUCUUUUGUUCAACAUAGCAUCUAAUAUCAUCAAUAUGAAGAAUCUUUAUUCUCCACAACGAGGCAUUUUUUGAAGGAGUAAGUUCAUGAUCCCUGAUAGCUUUUUCGACCAAUAAUUUUCCUCUCUUAAACACAUUGUGUUGGGAGAGUUAAAGGAACUCCCAUCAUGACUGGGAUGAAGUGAACUGGUUUCUGCAGCAUAUGUGGAUUCUGGACUGAGGACAGGAAAAAAUUGACUCAGUGUGCAAAUUUUGCUUCCUUUUUAUUUGAAAUAAGAUAACUGAUAUCUUUGUUGAGAAAUUCUUCAACUCUCCUUCCUAGGUCCUUUAUAACUUUUUGCAGUUUUUCAGAUGUGGUGGCAGAAGGUAAGUCAAAAUAAAAUAUUUUUCCCGAGCGGGGACUUACAUAUGGAGUUUUCUGGUCUGUUACUCUUUUUAAGAGAUUUCAAAGACGGUCUGUUCUUUUCAUUUUUCACUUGGAUUCCAUCCUGGAAUCCUCUGCCGUGGAUCCCCAUGGCUACGCCGUUCAUGGCAGCCAAGCGGUUCUACAUGCUGAGUCCCGGCUGGAGCCACAGGGCACGGCCGCGGGGACCAGGCUUCUCCGGGGCAGUGGAACGGCUGGCUCCGCGGGCGGAGUUACUGGGGCUGGAUCCGGCUUGGAGGCUCAGCGCAGAGCCAGCCAGACAAUGCACCUCUUGGAUGCCCAUCUUCAUUGUCAUUCUGCCCGAGCUCUGCCUGUUCCCCUGCCUCUCCAAAGGUCAACCAGAGGUCUUCACUGCUCCACUAAUGGGUGUACAAGCAGCCUGCACGCGGCGCCUGCUGUGA